rnacentral:misc_RNA from 1 species
UUGAAUAAACCUGAUGGGUUGUAGCUGGUUCCUUCGGGGACAAGUGCUCGCCUGUCAUCUUUAUAUCUCCACCUGUGCACUUCUUGUAGACCUGGAUAACUUUCUGAGGCAACUCAGCUCUGAGGAUUGCUGUGUGUUUUGCGACGCCGGCUUUCCUUAUAUUUCUAGGCCUAUGUUUUUCAUAUACCCCAUUGUAUGUAACAGAAUGUUUCAUAAGGCUUCAAUGCCUAUAAACAAAAUA